rnacentral:tRNA from 1 species
GGGCUCAUAGCUCAAUUGGUAGAGCGCUUGCCUUGCACGCAAGAGGUUAGGAGUAGCCUUCCCGAAGGCUUCGCCUACAAUUCUCCUUGAUUCCA